GUUAAAACCCUGACAUGCUGUGCAGCUAACCAAUCUCUUACACUGAGGGGUGUGGGGUCGGGGUGAGGGAACAGCAACAAAAUAUAAAUUGAAAACAAAAUGAAUAUGUUUCCUGAAACAAAGCCAAAAUCUGAAUAAUCCUUCGGUAAUGACCAUUUAUGCAGCUGAGAGUUUUCCAAGUUUUUCUUUCUACCCUUUUAAAGUAACAUGGGAAUCUGGUCCAAUUUUAAAGCCAGAGAUUACUCAGAACUAUUUUUAGGUCAUUUCAUCCCAUUUUUAGUUGACUUGUGUAACCUAGGCGGUAUUUUCAUUUCAAAGCUGCAGUGGAAGACAUGCCUGAGUUCUCCGCGCACCAGUGCCAGGAUGCAAGCCUCCGCCCCCCCAGGAAACUGGCCAGUGAUAUUCCAUCUCCCUUCCUGCUGUUGGCUUCUUGACGGAAGAAGAUACAGACACAGAGGAGAAGGUCACGUGAAGACAAAGGCAGAGCAGAGACUGGAAUGAUAGCUCUACAAGCCACAGAGCGCCAGGAACUGCCAGAGGCUGGAAGAUGCAAAGAUCCUCCCCCAGAACCUCCAGAGGAAGCGUGGCCCUGCUGACACCCUGAUGAUGGACUUCUGGCCUCCAGAACUCUGUUCCAGUGGGGCUGAUGUGGAUCUCCCUGUGGGUACCACUCAUCUUUGAAGCAGUCAGUAGCAUCAUGUCCUGCUGCAGCGGAGAAAGGAAGGAAGGUCUGUGCUGCUGGAGGGUGCAAGGGCUCCCUCCAAGCUCCAAAAGCUCGUGCCCAGCCUCCUGACUCAAUCAUUUCCCCACCAAAGCAAUACCGUCUCUGCUUGUAUGAAGGAAUAAAGAUGUACAUUUGUACAGGACAUUUGUACAGACGUACAUUUAAGUACAUUAGGUACUUAAAAUGACUUGAAAUACUGGUUGUGAUCUUCCUAUGAAGUAAAGAACAAACUUUUUCCCCAUGGUGCCUCCUGUGUAAUACUUAAGCUGAGAAUGGACAGUUUGCCUGGUAUUGUCCUGGAGCUUCACAUAGCUCAUUUAAGCUAUACAACAACUAUAAAUUAGGUAUUCUUUUUCUAAUCUACUACAGUCAAGAUAACUGAAGCUCAGUGAAGUUAGAUAUCCUGCACUCUGCCUAGGGAGUGAAGUCAGUCUGUCACAGAUGAGCAGCCAAACUCCAAGGAAUGAAUGAGCCACUGACACCUA